rnacentral:rRNA from 1 species
UACGAGAGGCCCAAACGUUAUUCGGAAUUACUGGGCUUAAAGAGUCCGUAGGCGGCGCAGAAAGUAGGGUGUGAAAGCCCUCGGCUUAACCGAGGAAUUGCGCUCUAAACUACUGUGCUUGAGGAACCUAGAGGUGAGCGGAACUGAUGGUGGAGCGGUGAAAUGCGUUGAUAUCAUCAGGAACACCGGAGGCGAAGGCGGCUCACUGGGGGUUAUCUGACGCUGAGGGACGAAAGCCAGGGGAGCGAACGGA